GCUGUAGGUGGUGCGUCAGAAAUGACCAGCUUCAUGUAGUUCUACUGGAACAUAGGGUCAGUUUCAGCAAAUAUGACAGAAAGUUACUUUUAGAAGGCUUACCUACUGCACCUUUUUAAAUCGUGAGGUGCAAAUCCAUCCAAUAUGGGCAUAAUUCCUGGGGAUGCUGAACUACUAAACGGCGGUUUCCCAUUGACAGGAGAGGAAGGGGUAAACCGAGACACAUUGUGCGUCUGCGCAAGGUCCUUGUUCUCCUGCAUGCCACUUCUCUUGGUAGACCUAGGUGUGUCGGCCCUCGCAAAACAUUCUGAUAAGGUUUCUUUGUGUUCUAGUCCCUUUUUAUUGUGUAACUUUGAAGAAGCUGCCUUUUUUCUUUUUUUGUUUCUUUUAAAAGCCCAUGAACUAUACAGACUUAGUGAUAGACAAUUGUGUUGGCUUUCUACGUCAUCCGCUCACUUGCAAAGCAAACAACAGGGAUGUAGAGUUGCGGGCUUCGGCAGAGACAUAUGCAUUUUUCGGGUCACUGAGGGAGUUUGUGCGCUGUAGGGUGUGAAUGUUCACAGUGGAUCAGACAGGUUGUAAAUAAACCAACUGUUAUCCAGAUUAUUUAAACCACAUGUACGGAGGCAAACGUUAAAGUGAGUGCGCCUGAAAUACCUGAAAGCAGGUAUUUCCCAAAGGUCGUUUUUUUUUGAGAACCUAUCCUUUUAAAACCUGUCUUUAUAGCAACUUUCUCUGAUAGUAUAUAUUAAUAGAAAUUACAGCCAAAACUACAGAUACAAAAUGUCAGUGGUUUAAGUAAUGUGUUUUUUUUUUCUUCCUCGACGUUUCCCCAGUUAAGGACACACUGUUGCGGACACUUGAUGAUCAAGAAGAACAAGGAGAACCAAAAACAGAAGGGGACUCUUUAUGAUCUUUUUCUUUCUGAGGCUCCAAAGUACAGUACUAUUAGCUAAGCGUAGAUUGUAGUAGUAAGACAUUCCCAGCAUUACGAUGACAAUCUUUUGAACUCAAUGCUGAAAAAAAAAAAAUAAAUAAAAUCUUGUGUAAGGUCGGUCUCUCAUGCUGCUCGUGCUGCUGUUUGUAGCACACGGACGGGAGGGGAAAAGAAAAGGAAAAACAGCUUGGCUUUCUUCACGACAAAGGACCGGGAGCAGAUGGACACACGUUUUCUGUGAGCGAACGAGCUAAUGGAAGCCCUGAACAACUGGUUGGCCUAAAGGCUGUGGAGGGGGAGGACACGUGCUGGACUCUUAUUGUGUAAAAUUACUGUACAUUUUUUCUC